GCCGACAACUGGAGCCCUUUCCUACACAGAUGACGGCUCUACAGUGGGCCAGGGCCUGGGUGUGGAGGGCCCGCCUUUGGGCGGGCUAGAAAGGCCCCGAAAUCACCGAUAUCCUCAGAAGAGCAUCGCCCCCUGAAAUCCGGCUUUUCCCACCGCCUUAACCUCUAGACGCCCUGCUGGCCUUCUGUUACUUGAGCUCAAAAACCUCGAACAGGAAGAAUAAGAACCUACCAUCUAAACUUUGGAAGAUACAUAAAAAACAAAAUGAAGUCAUCAAAAUCUAAAAUUGCACCUUUUUCUGUAGACGUGGAAAAUCCAGGAUUAGUUUCUAAAAACGUUUCAACUAUUUCAGCAGGAUUGUCUAAAGCAAGGAAAAAAAGUAGCACAAAAUUUAAUAAUGAAAGUGAACUAAUGUUCCUUGCUCCUCCACCUGUAGCAGAAUCAAUGCUAAAGCAUGCCAUUGCUAUUCCCUCUGAAAAUGCAGAGAAUGCUCUAAAUGAUGAGCAAAUUGUUAGACAAGUUACUAAUCAUCUUAAGGAGAUUUCUUCUUCUUUAGAAAAAGCUUAUGGAUUUGACAUUGAAAGAGAUCGAUUAGCAGAGAGAGUACCAAGGCCAGAAGGAGAAGAAAGUGUACCUGUAUGUAUAUGUAACCUUUGUUGCCAAGGCAUCAACAGUAAUAAUGGCUCAGGUUUUCUUUUGGAGUCCACAUUUAUAAACAAAAUGAGCAUGCUCGAAAACUUGGUAGUGUUAAUUCUGGCAUAGAGAUGUCCUAGUGAAACUGUCCUUUUCCAUGUGUAGCAUUCAAUAAUCUAUGUCUCUGAAGUCACUCAGGUCUAGAGGGAUGGACUGAUUUAUCCAGAAUCCACUGGCUACCCAGGCAAUCCUUCAGAGAUGUUAUCCACCAGGAUCUUCCAUGCUACCCUGUGACAAGAUUUUCUGGUUGGCUAGAUGAUUACGUCUUUCAGUGUCUUCUUUAUACCUUAUACCUACCAGCUGCCUUUCAGAGACUGCCCCCCUGGGUUCACCAUUUUACUUCCCUUUCCACUGGUUGCUUACCCAGCAGUGUGUUGACAGUAGACCUCUUCUAGGAUGUUCAGCAACAAUCUUCUGAAAUAAAAGAUAAUUUCCUUUAGCUUCGCA
rnacentral:lncRNA from 1 species